GGGGCUAUGUCAGACCCUGGGUUCCCAGCCCACUCUCUACCAGAUCCCUAGCCUCUACUGUUCCUAUGAGACCAAUUCCAACGCCUACCUGCUGCUCCAGCCCAUCCGGAAGGAGGUCAUCCACCUGGAGCCCUACAUUGCUCUCUACCAUGACUUCGUCAGUGACUCAGAGGCUCAGAAAAUUAGAGAACUUGCAGAACCAUGGGUGAGUGUCCUGAGAACCCGCCAAGAAUUUCUCUUUCAUCUUCACAUGCCUGGAGUUCAGGAGUGUAAGAAUAGGCAACCUGAACAACUAGACACCUCAAAGAGCCAAGGAGUUCAGAAUGCCAACCAUUCCAUAAAACUAGUCCAUGGUGGAAAAAAAUCACAAUAGUGCUUGCCUCUAGAGGGAAAGGAUUAACUGGAUGAUGUACAAGAGGAUUCUCUGGGGUAUUGAAAAUGUGCUCUCAAUAUCUUGUUAGGGACGUGGUACAUGUGGCUGUAUGCAUUUGUCAAAACUCACCAAAUGGUCCACUUGAGACCUGUGUAUAUCAUUGUAUGUAAGUUUAACCUAAAAAAAGACAAAUAAAAAAGAACACUUC
rnacentral:lncRNA from 10 species